rnacentral:tRNA from 1 species
GGGGCAUUGGCGCAGCUGGUAGCGCACUUGCAUGGCAUGCAAGGGGUCAUCGGUUCGAGUCCGAUAUGCUCCAC